rnacentral:rRNA from 1 species
AUUCCAGCUCCAAUAGCGUAUAUUAAAGUUGUUGCAGUUAAAAAGCUCGUAGUUGGAUUUCUGGGCUGAGCGACCGGUCCGCCGCUGUGCGGUGUGUACUCGUGUUCGACUCGGCUCAUCCUUGUGGGGAAACGCACUUCGGCAUUAGGUUGUCGAGGCGGGGAACCGCAUCGUUUACUGUGAAAAAAUUAGAGUGUUUAAAGCAGGCAAAUUGCUGUGAAUACAUUAGCAUGGAAUAAUAACAUAGGACUUUGGUUCUAUUUUGUUGGUUGGAGGCCAAGGUAAUGAUUAAUAGGGAUAGUUGGGGGUAUUCAUAUUUAAUUGUCAGAGGUGAAAUUCUUGGAUUUAUGAAAGAUGAACUCAUGCGAAAGCAUUUACCAAGGAUGUUUUCAUUG